GCCUCGGUAGCUCAGUAGGUAGAGCAACUGACUGUUAAUCAGUAGGUCAAAGGUUCGAGUCCUUUCCGAGGCG
rnacentral:tRNA from 1 species